rnacentral:rRNA from 1 species
CAGUAGCCGCGGUAAUACGAAGGGUGCAAGCGUUAAUCGGAAUUACUGGGCGUAAAGCGUGCGUAGGCGGUGAGUUAAGUCUGCUGUGAAAUCCCCGGGCUCAACCUGGGAACUGCAUUUGUGACUGGCAAGCUAGAGUAUGGCAGAGGGGGGUGGAAUUCCGCGUGUAGCAGUGAAAUGCGUAGAUAUGCGGAGGAACACCGAUGGCGAAGGCAGCCCCCUGGGCCAAUACUGACGCUCAUGCACGAAAGCGUGGGGAGCAAACAGGAUUAGAUACCCCCGUAGUCCCUGUCUCUUAUAC